rnacentral:rRNA from 1 species
GAGUGGCGAACUGGUGAGUAACACGUGGGAAACCUGCCCAGAAGCGGGGGAUAACACCUGGAAACAGAUGCUAAUACCGCAUAACAACUUGGACCGCAUGGUCCGAGUUUGAAAGAUGGCUUCGGCUAUCACUUUUGGAUGGUCCCGCGGCGUAUUAGCUAGAUGGUGAGGUAACGGCUCACCAUGGCAAUGAUACGUAGCCGACCUGAGAGGGUAAUCGGCCACAUUGGGACUGAGACACGGCCCAAACUCCUACGGGAGGCAGCAGUAGGGAAUCUUCCACAAUGGACGAAAGUCUGAUGGAGCAACGCCGCGUGAGUGAAGAAGGGUUUCGGCUCGUAAAACUCUGUUGUUAAAGAAGAACAUAUCUGAGAGUAACUGUUCAGGUAUUGACGGUAUUUAACCAGAAAGCCACGGCUAACUACGUGCCAGCAGCCGCGGUAAUACGUAGGUGGCAAGCGUUGUCCGGAUUUAUUGGGCGUAAAGCGAGCGCAGGCGGUUUUUUAAGUCUGAUGUGAAAGCCUUCGGCUCAACCGAAGAAGUGCAUCGGAAACUGGGAAACUUGAGUGCAGAAGAGGACAGUGGAACUCCAUGUGUAGCGGUGAAAUGCGUAGAUAUAUGGAAGAACACCAGUGGCGAAGGCGGCUGUCUGGUCUGUAACUGACGCUGAGGCUCGAAAGUAUGGGUAGCAAACAGGAUUAGAUACCCUGGUAGUCCAUACCGUAAACGAUGAAUGCUAAGUGUUGGAGGGUUUCCGCCCUUCAGUGCUGCAGCUAACGCAUUAAGCAUUCCGCCUGGGGGAGUACGGCGCAAGGCUGAAACUCAAAGGAAUUGACGGGGGCCCGCACAAGCGGUGGAGCAUGUGGUUUAUUUGAAGCUACGCGAAGAACCUUACCAGGUCUUGACAUACUAUGCAAAUCUAAGAGAUUAGACGUUCCCUUCGGGGACAUGGAUACAGGUGGUGCAUGGUUGUCGUCAGCUCGUGUCGUGAGAUGUUGGGUUAAGUCCCGCAACGAGCGCAACCCUUAUUAUCAGUUGCCAGCAUUAAGUUGGGCACUCUGGUGAGACUGCCGGUGACAAACCGGAGGAAGGUGGGGAUGACGUCAAAUCAUCAUGCCCCUUAUGACCUGGGCUACACACGUGCUACAAUGGAUGGUACAACGAGUUGCGAACUCGCGAGAGUAAGCUAAUCUCUUAAAGCCAUUCUCAGUUCGGAUUGUAGGCUGCAACUCGCCUACAUGAAGUCGGAAUCGCUAGUAAUCGCGGAUCAGCAUGCCGCGGUGAAUACGUUCCCGGGCCUUGUACACACCGCCCGUCACACCAUGAGAGUUUGUAACACCCAAAGUCGGUGGGGUAACCUUUAGAACCAGCCGC